UUUCUCUAUCUCUCAGCACAUCAACAGUAAAUACCACUGAGUCAAUCUUCAUGUCUCCAUCAUCAACUGAUAUAUCCUUCACAGUAUUAAUGUCAGAACUAAUCUUAUCUAAUUUGUAAUUCACAUCAUCCACUGCUAUGUCCUUCACUGCAUCUAUACUAGAAAAAACUUUUGUGUCUUGUUUGUGGUUCCCAUCAUCUGACGCACAAUCUUGAAAUGUUGGAGGAUCCACAUCCUCCCUCCAGACAUCUUUCUGAUCUGGCUUGUUGUGAGGAACUAUCAGACUGCUGUCAUCCACCUUUCCUUCCAC
rnacentral:lncRNA from 1 species